GAGUUUGAUCCUGGCUCAGGACGAACGCUGGCGGCACGCCUAACACAUGCAAGUCGAACGGAGAUAUUUUGGUUUACUGAGAUAUCUUAGUGGCGGACGGGUGAGUAACACGUGAGCAACCUGCCUCUGAGAGAGGGAUAGCUUCUGGAAACGGAUGGUAAUACCUCAUAACAUAACGAAGCCGCAUGACUUUGUUAUCAAAGAUUUAUCACUCAGAGAUGGGCUCGCGUCUGAUUAGAUAGUUGGUGAGGUAACGGCCCACCAAGUCGACGAUCAGUAGCCGGACUGAGAGGUUGAACGGCCACAUUGGGACUGAGACACGGCCCAGACUCCUACGGGAGGCAGCAGUGGGGAAUAUUGCACAAUGGGGGAAACCCUGAUGCAGCGAUGCCGCGUGGAGGAAGAAGGUUUUCGGAUUGUAAACUCCUGUCUUAAAGGACGAUAAUGACGGUACUUUAGGAGGAAGCUCCGGCUAACUACGUGCCAGCAGCCGCGGUAAUACGUAGGGAGCGAGCGUUGUCCGGAAUUACUGGGUGUAAAGGGAGCGUAGGCGGGAUGGCAAGUCAGAUGUGAAAACUAUGGGCUCAACCCAUAGACUGCAUUUGAAACUGUUGUUCUUGAGUGAAGUAGAGGUAAGCGGAAUUCCUGGUGUAGCGGUGAAAUGCGUAGAUAUCAGGAGGAACAUCGGUGGCGAAGGCGGCUUACUGGGGCUUUUACUGACGCUGAGGCUCGAAAGCGUGGGAGCAAACAGGAAUAGAUACCCUGGUAGUCCACGCUGUAAACGAUGAUACUAGGUGKGGGGGACUGACCCCUUCCGUGCCGCRUUAACACGAUAAGUAAUCCACUKGGGKAKACGGCGCAGGGUUGAAACUCAAAGGAUUUGACGGGGYCCGMACARCAUGGAGUAUGMGAUUWWMUUGAAUCMACG
rnacentral:rRNA from 1 species